CUUCUGCUCUGGUCCUCCACUUCUUCCAGCAUCCACCCUCACAAUGAGACAGCUGGUGAGAGCAAGAGGGAGACAGCUCAAGGCUGGCAGCCAGGCCGGAAAAGCACCAACAACAGCUCAGGAGGCCAGCACAGGCAUCCCCCAUCGGGCGGGAAGAAGCAGCGCCCGUGGCUCUCAGCGGCUCUGCACAUCCAUACCUUCUCCUACACCUUUAAGGCCCGGCUGUUGCACGGGCAUGCUGCUGCCUUACUGCUCAAGUCACCUACCAGAGGAUGCAUUUGCCUCGCAGAAGCCGUCUCUUUAAUCCCUGGGCAAAGCGUGCCUUUUCCUUCCUUCAGGCACUCGCUGGGAGGGCUCGGCUCCUCAGAGAUUUUACCAUAACCUGAGCUCAAUCUAGUGGCUGCCCAAAGGCCCUGUUUCAGCAGAUGUGCCCGACAGGAGCAGUGGUGCUUCAUUAUAUGAGAUUUCACAUUGCUGGCCCACAAUACAAGACAAGUCUUUGACCUCUGGUGCCCACAUUUUGCUCAGACUUGAGGAGCCCUUGUCAAGGGAAGAAAAGCACAGAAGGUGAUAUGCUUCUGGUCACCUAGUGAAGGUCUCCUUCUUCUCUCAUUACCAUUUCAGUGCAUGGAAGAGAGGAAGAAAGAGGCUGCUCUAACUGGCAGGUUCUCCCAACCACAUGUCCUUCUGGCAGCUAUGUGGGUGUCAUGGGGAUUGAAGGUGGCUCUAAGGUCUUCCUGGGAUUUCUGAUGAAAUUUACGUGCAAGUCAGUUCAGAAGCUGCUUUGGUUCAUUCUCAACAGCUCUUUAUGGGAUGAAGCAGAUCCUUCUACUUACUGUGAGGGAUAAUUGAACUCCUUGCCCUCCCCCUUUCCUGGGCAGCAGCUUCAAAAGGUCUCUGAUUUUGCUCACCAAUCAAGCAAUCUCAUUUGCAAAACAACUGCAAGGGCCCUGCAAAAGCAGAAGGACAGCUCUUUUGUUAAAUCGUGCCUUUUGGUGACACAAAGGAAUCGUAAAGGUGAUGGAGCUGCAGACUGGACAGCCACAUUUCCUGGACUGUGCAGGCUGCCUUCCCUCCCCCUACCAGCUGUAAUUUCAGACCCCGAGUCUAAGGGUUAUGCAAGGCUCGAGCCCAGUGAGA